UCCUUAGUAGCUCAAUGGUAGAGCGGUCAACUAUUAAUUAACUGGUCGUAGGUUCAAAUCCUACUUGGGGAG